UAGGGGAUUUGGGGCAAUAGAAGGCGGUGAGGGGGUCACAGGGAAACACAGUGCUGUAGGGAACAUUGGGGGUUUUGGGGAGGGGCUACAGGAAGCUGUGUGGGGGUAUAAGAUGGGCUAUAAAAAUAAAGUGGGGCUAGAUGGUCCAGAUAUAGCUCAAAUACGGUGACUAAAAGGUGUUAUAGAGGAGAUGAGAGAAUACUGGUGGGAUAUAGGGCUAUAGCAAGGAUGUGAAGAAAUAAAGGGGGACAUGGGGCUACAGGGGCUGGGGAGAGCUGUGGGAAGGGAUAUACAGGGCUGGGGGAGCAUAUAAAAGAAUAUGGAUCUAUAAAAGACUGUAAGGGGGAAAAAGGUAGGAUAGAAAAGUAAAUAGGUCUACAGACAGCAGUGGAAAAGCUAUAGCUGUGAUAUGGCGAAACAAGUGCAAUAGCGGAUUGUGGAGGAGUAUAGGAGGGGUACAGGGAGAUAGAAGGUUAUAAAGAGAAGUAGGGGGGCUAUAAUGGGAGUGUGGGGGCUAGAGGGAAAUAAAGAGUAAUAUGGAGAUACAGGAGGAGCUACAAGGGAAUGUGGGGAGACAAGAAAAGGGUACAAGCCCAUAUAUAGAAAAGAUGAGUAGAAUGAAAAAACCAAGAGGAAGAUAAAAAAAUUCAGUGAGCUAAAACAAAAGAAACAAAAACAAAAUCAAAAAUUAAAACAAAAUUGAGAAAAAAGGGAACAAAAUGAAACUAUACAAAUGAAAAAAGAAAAAAAGAAUAAUAAAAAAUCAAAAUAAAAAAAACAGUUAAAGGGAAAAUAGUGAAACAAAGAAAAAAAGGAAUACAAAGCAAAAAGAAAUGGAUGACAACAAAAUAGAGCAAACAAGUAGGAAAGCUAGGCAUAGCACAGCAAAAGAGAGCAAAGCAAAAGAAGGCAAAGAAUGACAAAAAGCAACCUUGCAGGAAUGGAGGAAUCUGUCCAGAGCUGUGCCCCUGCUUGCCACAGGAGCUGCGCGGGAGGAGAAGAACGUGGGCCAAAAGGAAUGGAGGAAUCUGUCCAGAGCUGUGCCCCUGCUUGCCACAGGAGCUGCGCGGGAGGAGAAGAACGUGGGGCCAAAAGGUAAGAGGAGCUCCUUUGGGUUCUGGGCUUGAAGCAAAGCUGAGAAGCCAUGCCCGGGAGGAGGUGUGGGUAGCUACAGGCCACCUUGCUAUCUCCCCAAGAGAUGAGGUGUGUGGGCUAGGCACCGGGCAGGAGUGCUGGCCAGAAGCAAGCAUCUCUGUGGAGGAAGGCAAAGGGCGGAGGAGGUUCAAGGGUAGCUACCGGGCAUGGCCUUGCUCAGCAAGGGGAGGAAAAGCCUGAAGGGCACGAGAAGGGGAUAGAGAAGGGCAGGCAGUAGGCGUGAAGCUGCGAGCAGAGUAGAGAGCAACUUGGCAGAGCAGCAAGCAGAGUAGGCAAGUGUUGAG
rnacentral:lncRNA from 7 species